rnacentral:rRNA from 1 species
UACGGAGGGGGCAAGCGUUAUUCGGAAUUAUUGGGCGUAAAGGGCGCGUAGGCGGUCGUGACAAGUCACUUGUGAAAUCUCCGGGCUUAACUCGGAACGGUCAAGUGAUACUGUCGGACUAGAGUACAGAAGGGGCAACUGGAAUUCUCGGUGUAGCGGUGAAAUGCGUAGAUAUCGAGAGGAACACCUGCGGCGAAGGCGGGUUGCUGGGCUGAUACUGACGCUGAGGCGCGAAAGCCAGGGGAGCGAACGGG